ensembl:lncRNA
UGUCAUUUCAGUGUUAUGCCAAGUGGCUCUUAUCUUGUCUGCUGAAACACUUGCUCUUGGAUCUCUGAGCCACCUCUGACCACCCUGAGGUUGCCAUGCCAUGAGGAAGCCCAAGACAUGAAAGGCCACGUUUGAACCAACAUUUGCCACUGAUGCCAGUCAGAGUCACUGCAGACCAGGUUCUCUUCUCUUUCGCUCCUGUCAUAGAUGCAGGCAGCUGCUGAUCAACGCAUAUACAUUUGGGGUGCUUCUCUCAGUUAAGGAAAAGAGACUCUCAAAGAAAUAGAUGACUUAAGGGAUAGUUUUGCUGAGCCCCACAUACGAGGAGAUGGACCAGGGUUGAAGGGACUGAAUUGAACGCUGGGUCAGGUGGAGAAAGUAAUAUCACCUGCUGUCACCAGGCCCUGACAACACCCAGAGAUGCUCUUCCGUGUCCUUGGUGCUCUCAAAGAUCCAGAAAGACUCCAGCCCUUCAGAUCAAAUAGCUGAAACAAUGGAUGAUCUGAACUGUUGAUGACCUCACCCCAUCCAGGUGCCCAUCCACAUAGACAAAAAUGUCCAGAGCCAAAGAGCCUUGCUCUUCCCAUCACGGUAAGUGUCAAGUGCUAUUUCUUCAGAGAAAAUAGCCUCUGCUUUUGCGCAUCACAGAUAAGGUUCUGGGGAUUGUUGAACCUGAAAUGCCAUGUACAGUAUUGUCCAUGAGGCUCUGUCCGUUUUUCUGGGAAGAUAGAGUUUUCAAUGCUGGCCGUUCUGAUCAGUGCAAAGUGGU